UUAAUUGUACGCUCGAAGGAUUUUUUAUUAGAUUAAUCAUCUGCCAUUGCUUAUAAAUAAAUAUUGCAAACACACUUUGUCGCCAAGAACUUUUAGCGCAAACAGCAGUGAUAAUUCAUAAAAAUGAGACUUUUAUUUGCAUUUGUGUGUCUUUUAAUGUUAAUAGCAGGUAGAAGAUAAAAUAAAAUAUUAAGGACGACGAUUUUCUUGUAUCUAAUUCUUGCUAUUUAUUUUAGAAAUUCAAGCAAUGGCUUAUGGUGAGUAUUGAAUCACACCAAAUAUAAUUUUUAUAUUCCCUCUUUUCAAUUCCUUUCAGAUCGCAAAAAUCGAUCAGCUUUAGAAAAUAAGGAAAAAAGGCAUGCGUGUGUUGGUUGUGAACCGUAUUGCUCGUGUCCACCGGUUGUGUAUUAAUUAGUGAAUAUUUAUUAAAACAUUGAAGCGACAGAACCAGAAUUUUGGUGUAUUUCAUUCCGAUGCUUUUCUAAGUAACCAAUAAACCGAAAUGGCGCAAAUGACUCUGUUUAUAUGAAUUUGUUAUCGUUUCGAAUUUCACGCAUCAAUGAUCCUUUACUUUACUGCAUCUAAUGAUUUUCAUCAUCGUUCAAUCGUUGUGCAUUUCCUUAUAAAUGAAUCUGAAAAAUUGCAAUUGCAAAUACACUUUAUCGCCAAGGUAUUUUGUAAAAUUCGUAGAGUAAACAUCAAGUGAAAACUGUCUAAAAAUUCAUAAAAAUGAGGAUUCUUUUCGCAAUUGUGUGUCUUUUUAUGCUAAUAGCAGGGAUGCAAGCAAUGGCUGAGGAAGAACACCAAGCUGGCUCGGAGGGUUCAGUCAAUAAUCUCGAAAGGCGUGCGGCGAUUCCUUGUGAUUGUCGUGAUCCAACUUGCCCGUGUCCGACAUUUAAGUAAAUAUUUAUCAAAGCGUGGUUUCUAAAACUUUUUCGAUAAAUUUGCAAAUAAAUUUAAUUAUAAACUGAGUUGCCUUUUAUUCAGAAAACGUUUUGUUGUCUCUGAAAUCGAUGCAAGAUAAUCAGAGUUUUGGAGUAUUCAAUUCCGAUGCUUUUCUAAAUAACCAACAAACCCAAAUGGCACAAAUUCUUGCACAAAUUACUAUAUAUGAAUUUGUUAUCACUUUGAAUUUCACGCUUCAAUAAUCCAUUUGUCAAUAAGACGGCUCAAAUGUAAAGAAACUUUUUUCAGUGCAUUGUAGUGACAAAUAUCAAGAGAAAAAUCAAUUGUGAAUUUAAGAAAAUGAGGAUUUUUUUGGAAUAGCUUUUAUCUUUCUACUAUUGACUGGUAAAAACAAUUUCUUACUUCUUGCCAAGGGAUUUUUUUAUUUCUUUUACUUAUCUAUCUAUUCUAGGAAUUAUAUGUGAAGAUCUAAGUAAGUAAUAUUGCAUUAUAAACAUAUUAAUUCCUAUGGUUUUUUACUCAGUACAAAUUCUAUGUGAGUAACAAGAUAUUUAAAUGCGCAAAUACACUUUUCCUUCCUUUUUAGCACAUAGGAGGACUAGAGAUUUGCUUGGUAAUGCGGUUCGCCCGAAAAGAGCUCCUCAAUGUGAUUGUGGAUUUGUAGAUCCGGACUCGGACCCAGGCUGUUUUUGCCCCAUUUGACUAUGAAUUGGCAAUAAAGCCUAAUAUCGAACAGUACACGGUGUUCAUAUUAAUUUGAUUUAGGACAAUAAAUUUUCACCUGCGUGCUUUUUUGAUUACUACGCAAUAAGUCGUAAACACUUCACGAAUUAAUUUUUCACUUCAAUGAUCAUUAAUUUGAUCAAGCAGUUUUUAAAAUUGUGCAUUUUCCUAUAAAUAAAUUAGUAUGAUUAGCAUAAACGGCAUUUAAACUUUGUUGCCGAAGUUUUGUAGAUCAAACAAUAGCUAAAAUCAAUCUAGAAAUCAUUUAUAGUUGGACGAAAUGAGAUUUAUUUGGGUCCUUUGCAUAUAUUUGAUAAUAGCAGGUAAAACAAACAUAUAUUCAUAUUUUUCUUAAAGUUGACUUCAUUUGUAAUUGCUCAGGUGUUCAAGGAGUAGCUCUAGCGGAGUACAGACCCUAUACACCAACUGGUGACUGUUACAUUUGUGAAGGGGACCCGUACUGUGAGUGUCCGCCGCCGUGGAUGUUAAGUUGACGAGUCCCCGCAGAGCGGGAAAUCCACGGGAAAAUUGCUUUGAGACCAGUGAAAGUAUGUAUUCUAUUUGAAAGCUCAAAUACAAUAAAUUGCUAAAGAACUUUGCGCAGAAAUCUCAAGAUGUAAUUUUAUGUUAUCGUUUUGUAAUUUAUCGCUUUACUGAUUUCUUAUUAGAUUUUUAGAGCUCCAUGAGUUUCUAUAAAUAUGAAUAUCGUAUUCUCACAGUUUUUAUAGGACACAGUUGUUUGUAUAGGAAAAAUGAGGUUUCUUUUUGCAAUCGCGUGUCUUUUUCUGCUACUGACAGGAAUCAUGGCGAGAAUGGAUGACAGCAACAGUGGUUUCCAGCGCUUAAGACGUGAUGCAAAGCCUGAUGACCCUGACUACGACCAUUCGGACGCCUUAAUUCGAAGAUAAUCAUGGUCUCCAUAACGAUGUUCGUAGCUUCUAACUACUCUUGGUUUAUACUGCUUUGCAUACUUAAAGCUCCAAAGCGCCGAAAGCUGAUCUUCAAUAUUUUUUUUUUAGAAAGUAAUGUUUUCAAAUUUCAAAAACCGAUCAUAAUAAAUAUUGAAAUUAUGUUGAAUCUUUUUUGUAUUCGAAUUUCUUCAAAAAUCUUUCUUUUUGGUUUUGGUGAGUUUUAAAUUUCUU